UAUCGACAUUUCAGGGUUUAUCUUAUUAUUGGAUUUAUGGAGUUGGAGAUGACUUUUGAAAAGUAAAAAAAGAGGAGAUUUUAGGAGAUUAUUAUUUAUUAUUUUAUUUUGGAAAAAUGCUGGUGGUACAAGUGUGUUUUUUGUGGAGAAAGAGAUGCAAGAGAACGAGACCACUUGAUUAUUCUUUGCUUGUCCGUAAUCUUAUACAGUGUGGGAUACAGUGGCAGGAAGGUUACUUGGCUUUCGUAUAAACCCUGAUUGGCAUGACACGCUGAGUACAAUUCAUGAUGGAAGGUUUAUCCAUGUGGAUAAAGUCCUCAUACGAAUGGUUUUUCAAACGACUAUCUAUCUUAUAUGGAGGGAAAGUAAUGCUAGGAGACGUCAAAAUAGCAUACAAACGACAUUUCAGUUGAUAAGGCUCAUAGGCAAAGCACUCAGGAACAUGAUUUCCUCUCUCAAAUAUAAUGAUCGACAUAUGUUGGAGAAUUUGAUGAGACGAUGGUUUGAAUCUCUUGGCACUUAACUAUACAUGAAAAGUUAACAAUUCAGAAGGACCUUUUCUCCUUUUUCUCAGAUAGAGUUAUAUACAUCAUAUCAAUAUUCUUUUGUACAUGAGUCAUGAUCAAUAAAUUUAAAAUUUCAAAAAACAAAUAUGCCAAGAUUCCAUAAACUUACCUCGUUAAUAACACUGGUAGGCAACUUCCACCAAUAUUCUCAACCUCGAUCGAGCACCUAAAAAAUGGAACAUUGUUCAGCCCUUGUCGACCAGAGAACAAAGCAAGAGCCGGCAAUAAAAUAAAAAUCAAACAUAAUAUUUGUGCAGUAUCCUGUAUCCAAAACUCUUAUAUCUAAUGUCAAUAAAUUUUUUUCUCCUCUCUCUUUCUUCUUACAAUUUGAGUCAUUUAAGUCCAUAUAGAGAUUCAAAAUGAUGGGACAAAAGAUAUACAAACUAGUAUCUUGUUACCUCUUGUUUACGACAAAAGCAACAACCUCAGUAGUGCUAGGUGCUUGGAUUCAUCCUCAGCAUUUUUUAUCGGAAUUCGGCAAGUACUGGAAGUAUGCAAAAUUUUUAUUGGGAGUUAUUCGAAAGAUGUUUAUUGAUAAUAAAAGAGACGACUAUAGGAGAACUAUAAGACUUUAUGAGAACUACGACAAAUCGGCAAGAACAAGGAGAUCAAUAAAUCCUAAUUCUUUUGUUGAAAAGUGUGUAUGUUUGAAAAUGUCUUUCCUUGAUAUUCAGCCUCUCUUUGUAUAGUAGAAGUCCUUUUUUUUUAUCCAAGUCGGCAUAACUUUAGCCCGUCUUUUGGUUAAAGUGGGUCGAGUUCAAUUAUUUUAUGGGCCUUGUCCAAAGGAUGUAAUCCAUCUCCAACAAUAAGUCCCUUUACGUCAUUGCGAGAAGUCGAACUCUGCGAAUUUAUAUGAAUAGGUUUGGAAAGUACGAACUUGACAUUUUGUCUUUCAAACGAGGUUGAGCUUCCUUCUUGGCGCUCAUGAGGAAAUUGCAAACCAGUUUUUAUAAACCAAACCAAAAUUUGGUUCGAAUUAGAUUAUACCUAAUCCCGGGUCCCGAGAAGUGGAAGAAUUGCUCCUAAGAAAGCGGGAAACGUACCGCCGCAUCAGGGAAUGGUUCUGUCUCUUCGUUUCUUGUGCCAUUCUUUUAUAAAUAAUGAGCUAAGUCCUCAAUUCAUAAGUUCCACUCGCGAUCAAAGUUCGGCAUCUUGACAACAUUGCCUAUCCUGAGAACUUUUUUCAAAACAUGACCAAAGUUUCAACUCUCAGUCACAAAACUUGGCCAGAAAACAGGAGAUCAAGGAUCCAACAAAGCCUCAAUUGUAUAGCAAAAGGUAAUCUUCCAUUUUGCCAAACUUGCUUUACUUCUCGCAUUUUUUUAUUUAUUUGAACUUUCUUCUUAUCCUCGGCAGUGGACGACUGGGCUUCUGACAUCCCGUGUCUAAAGGACAGAUGGGAAAAGCCAAAGGCUAUGAAGAUGAAAUCUGAACCUUUCGCAAACAUGGGAAAAUAAAGACAGCGGUUCUUGAUUAUUAUAGCAUAUACGCCGAGGAUUAUAUUGAUACUACUUAGAACCCGAUGGCAAUUCUGGACAAUCAGAAUCAGAAUCAAAUGGAGGCGACCGUCCCUAUCAAAGUACCAUUUUCGGAGGUGUCACCAAAGCCGAUCUUGAUGAAUAAGUCGGCGAAACGUAAAAGAAAUAGGUCCGCUGAGAAGGAUCAAAGUAUUGAUGAGAAGAUCGCCGAAGAAGGGAAAUACCCUGUUGUCCCUUUCAUUACUGAUGCCCCACUUUAUCAGCCUGCCGAGGAGAUUUGAAAUACUGAAGAUCCACCUUUGAAGAGAUCAAAGACUUCUAUGGAUGCAACUGAGGUGACUCCCCCGUCUUGGCCCCCCCACAUCGUCGUCGAAUUUUUGUAUUCUUAUCCUAUUCCCUUUGUUAAUAAUCUAGAAGUGUGUGCGGACUUAUUUCGCCAUGAAUAAGUUUGAUUUUGAAAUUUAAAAUAUCUCUUUAUUUUUGAAAUUUAAAUAAGUGCAAUUAUAAGGUAAAAUACAUUUUUAUCCUUUAAUAAAAUUUAUGUUGGUCAUUUUCUUCAUUAAAGACUAUUUUGUGACAAAAACUUAAAAAAAAAUUAUCCUACGGAAUUUCUCUUUAAAUAAUGUAUCAUACGUUUAUAGACUUGUUAGUUUUAAACUUGCUUAUACUUAUUUCCUCUUAACAUCCAUUUUUGAAUCAUGGAACUAAACCUUGGAUAAUGAGAGUUGUUUAAAGUUGUUAAGUUUGUGAACUGAAGUAGUAGUAAGCAGAAAAUAAAAAAAAUUUAAUGGGUUUUGCUGCUACUGUUUUAGCCUUUUCAAAUUCAUCCUCUUGGACUUUUGGAUUGUGUGCAGGAGGAGGGCGAGGACAAGGGUCGCCUAGUGCCAAAGUUUGGAGAAUGGGAUGUCAAUGACCCUUCUUCUGCUGAGGGAUUCACUGUUAUCUUCAACAAAGGUAGAAACGAGAAAAAGGCGUUGGUGGUGGCAUAUCUGAUGAACCUCCUGGAUUUAAUAAAAAUGCCCAUGUUCUUGGAAAGCCCACUAAAAAUUGGGGUUUGCUGUAUACAAUCCACUCGCGCAGAAAAAGUGGUCACGUCUUCGUCUUGCAAACGACGUUCUAUCUAUAUCUAAAAUUCGUACUGCGUCAACAAGACUGGAGCUUGUCUGAGAAGCAAUGACAGCCACUUCUGGACAUCUGGUUGGAGUGGUGUCUUUUGGUGACUCCGGUCUGGUGCAAGAAUAAUGUAUUUAUAUAUACUAUUGAUGUAUAUAUUCUGGUUUAGUGGUUUAGCUAGUUAGCUGGUUUACUUAUCCAAUUGUAUAGCUCACUAUAUAUACUUGUAAAUGCUCAUUUUAAUACACAAGAGAUAUUUUGAUAACAAACUUCUUCUCUCCCAAGAAAGCUUGUUUGUAAUAUGGUAUCAGAGCUAUUAUUGAGCUUG